rnacentral:rRNA from 1 species
GACGAACGCUGGCGGCGUGCCUAAUACAUGCAAGUCGAACGCAGUGGGGACGGGUGAGUAACACGUUGGUAACCUCCCCUCAGAGGGGAUACCACUUGGAAACAGGUGCUAAACCGAUACUGAUGGAUGGACCCGCGGUGCAUUAGCUAGUUGGUGGGGUAAAGGCGAACCAAGGGCACGAUCCAUAGCCGCACUGAGAGGAUGAUCGGCCACACUGGGACUGAGACACGGCCCAGACUCCUACGGGAGGCAGCAGUAGGGAAUCUUCGGCAAUGGGCGAAAGUCUGACCGAGCAACGCCGCGUGAGUGAAGAAGGUUUUCGGAUCGUAAAGCUCUGUUAUUAGAGAAGCGUUAUCUAACCAGAAAGCAACGGCUAACUACGUGCCAGCAGCCGCGGUAAUUC